GACGAACGCUGGCGGCGUGCUUAACACAUGCAAGUCGUACGGUAAGGCCCUUUCGGGGGUACACGAGUGGCGAACGGGUGAGUAACACGUGAGUAACCUGCCCACAACUUUGGGAUAACGCUAGGAAACUGGUGCUAAUACUGGAUAUGUGCUCCUGCUGCAUGGGGGGGGUUGGAAAGCUCCGGCGGUUGUGGAUGGACUCGCGGCCUAUCAGCUUGUUGGUGGGGUAGUGGCCUACCAAGGCGGCGACGGGUAGCCGGCCUGAGAGGGUGACCGGCCACAUUGGGACUGAGAUACGGCCCAGACUCCUACGGGAGGCAGCAGGGGGGAAUAUUGCACAAUGGGCGCAAGCCUGAUGCAGCAACGCCGCGUGCGGGAUGACGGCCUUCGGGUUGUAAACCGCUUUCAGCAGGGACGAAGCUUUUUGUGACGGUACCUGCAGAAGAAGCACCGGCUAACUACGUG
rnacentral:rRNA from 1 species